AGGGCAGCAGUCUGUAUUUUACUUACAGUGGAGGUCGCAAUGAAGUGGAAGUCCUAUGAGGUGGACAAACGGUCAUAAAGGACCUAAACCUAUGUGUGCACAGUGGCCAGAUGCUUGUUGUCAUCGGCAGCUCAGGCUGUGGGAAGACCUCCUUACUAGACAUCAUAACAUGUCGAG